rnacentral:rRNA from 1 species
CCCUACGGGGUGCAGCAUGCGCGAAAACUUUACAAUGCCGGCAACGGCGAUAAGGGGACCUCGAGUGCCAGGUUACAAAUCUGGCUGUCGCGAUGCCUAAAAAGCAUUGCAUAGCAAGGGCCGGGCAAGACCGGUGCCAGCCGCCGCGGUAACACCGGCGGCUCGAGUGGUAACCGUUAUUAUUGGGUCUAAAGGGUCUGUAGCCGGCCGGGUAAGUCUCUUGGGAAAUCCAGCAGCUCAACUGUUGGGCUUUCAGGAGAUACUGCCUGGCUCGAGGCCGGGAGAGGUGAGAGGUACUUCAGGGGUAGGGGUGAAAUCUUGUAAUCCUUGAAGGACCACCAGUGGCGAAGGCGUCUCACCAGAACGGACCUGACGGCAAGGGACGAAAGCUAGGGGCACGAACCGGAUUAGAUACCCGGGUAGUCCUAGCCGUAAACGAUACUCGCUAGGUGUCGGCCACGGUGCGACCGUGGUCGGUGCCGUAGGGAAGCCGUGAAGCGAGCCACCUGGGAAGUACGGCCGCAAGGCUGAAACUUAAAGGAAUUGGCGGGGGAGCAC